UUCUCCCGAAUCAUUGACCAUGGAUCCACCGAUUUGAGGUGAUGCGUGUCUUGAGUUCGAGCGCUUCGGUGCCGGCGACCGUGGUUCUCACGGGCACUCCCCCGAAUACAAGUUCCAUGCUGCUAGCCUGCAAAGAGUUGUAUUGCAGUUGCACAUUAUUUCCUAAAUCAUUUAGAUUCUUGAUUCAAUUAAAUGCACAGCCUCUGUUUAGAAGUUUUGCGGGAAUGUUCUCCAAAAUAAAAGGCAAAUUUCUUGAGAAUGGGCUAAGGAAACCAGUCAACUUGUAAGUGACAGACGUAUAAACGGAAACAAAAGGUACAUAAAUUUAGUAGCAAGCUAAAUAUAGAAUCGAUAUUGUCAUCUCCUCUGUUUUCAUUUGAGUUCAAAAUCAAACUCUAUUUAACUUACAGCAAGUUAUGUAGCCCUCUUUAGAAUAUUUUAUUUAUUUGUGUAAUUAUCUUGGAAACAACCUUAUCAAAUAUAUAUGACUUUUGUUGCCGGUAGCAAGGUACGGGCAUGUAACUAGUGAAUUCAACAAUAUAUAAUGAUUUUAGCAGUUUUGUGCCCAUCGAACCGAACACCUGCCCGCAGAGAAGCAUAUGCAGCGGCAGGGCGCGCUGCCCCAAGGAGCGGAGGCGACGCCCGCAGCCGGCAGUAGCGAGGUGCGCUAACGACGUAUCCGCCGGCGACCCACAGCACGACGGGACGCGCUGCCUCGAGGAGCGGUGGUGGCUCCAACUCCUGGCACCCUGUUGCCGCUGCCGGAGGGGGCUGCUGGGCCACGGCCACCUCGCUCCUUACGGUGCCCCUCCCUCGCUCGAUGUUCCCCAAUCUGAUCUCCCUUGUAAAUUAUGUUUUGGUGUAUUCGUGCCGAUGCGGUCUUGAUUCGAUGCCAGCAGCUGCGAUCCAUGGUGCCAUGGGGGUAGAUAAACGUGGCAGCGGUGGCCUCCUAUGCAGAUUUUCGGAUAAUGUCGGCGGCCGGCGGCGGGGGCAGGAACUGGUUAUCGGCAGAUGCAGCAGAUGCCAUCGCAAGAGCUACUCGACGAUAUCUGCAGCUGAAUGCACCCAAGAAGAAGCUGGAAUCAUUUGAGUAGAGCUUAUUCCUGCUGUAGCAAGCGCACUGGAGCAACAUUAACCUCAGUAGUCUGCAUGUGCCUAAACACAUUGAAGAUUGUCACUAGGCCCUACAGCGCGCACCUAGAUUAUGCUGGAGAAGCCUUGCACAUCUGUGCCCAAAGUCCCAAAAUGAUUCAAAAAGUUGUUAAAGUAUUCUGGGUACCUUGAUAUGGCCACGACAAUUCAGGUUGUUUGUUCAAAUGAGGUUUUUUUUAACAAGUGAGAGCAAAUGUUAACUAGCUUUUGUUAGAAAUUUUGAGUUAUGAUCGCCUUUUGUUUCUGUGUAAAACUGUCAUCACUUAGGAUUACAUUUUUAUAGGCUAUCUUGAUGUUGUCUUGACACACACUCAUGUUUGUGUUUUAAUUAAUGUGCUGACAGUUUAAUCCUGAACCAUUAGUUGGAGUGCCUUUCACAAAUAGAGAUUAGCAGUAAAUAUUCAUCAUAAAUCCUAGCUGUAGUUUUCCUUUUGCUCUUUGCUGCUGCUUCCUACAAGAGUUAUUCUAAUGUAGUUGAUUGCUCCGGCAUUUACCCUCAGCGCUACCUGGUAAAUUGGGUUGUUGCCAAAACAAUUCAUUGGAUGUUUACUUGCAGAUGCUAUCUACAUCUUUUGUAACCUUAUUUUGAGAAAACAUUUAGAAGUUUUGCUUAGUAUUUCCAGAAUUGUGUGAUUUAUAGUCAUAUUUGUUGUACAGGUAAGGAUAUGCCGCAAUGAAGUAGAAAAUUGUUUAAUAGACUUUAAUCAACUCUAUACGAUUUGUCAGGCAACCAUUUGUCAUCUGGUAUAUAUUCAAAGUUUCUGAUUUAUCAGACCGGUUAAGCAAGCAGAUGAGUUGGAAAACAUAUUUGUAAAGAAAUUGCUUAGGUUUUCAUCAAUGAGGGCAGAGGCAUUUCAAGUGUUGAGGAGGAAACCAGUUCAAGUAUCACAAUUCCUACUUACACUGAUCAGUUUCAGUAGUGCUUAUGGCUCAUUAAUUUUCCUAAUAAACAUGAAUUGUCUGUAAUUGAAGUCAAUGCAGUAACGUUAUUAGGCACAGGGAUGUAGCAUUCUCAACUGAGUGAGGCCCAUCUUUUUGCUGACCUUUGUAGUACCGGUUUUCUUUUGUCCCAUCUUUUCAUUUUCCCACACAGCGAUUCAGUUUUUAUGAAUAUAAAUGUUUAUCACUUUUUGUUAGUUGCAGAAAUCCAAUUGUAUGUGACUGAAAACUAUGUAUGCAUUGGUAUAAAUUUCAGCUUUCUGAUAACAAACUAGCAUUGCGAGGACAUGCAUAAGCACAAGCUCCUUGAUGCGAUGGUGCAAGACGACAAACAAUAAGAAAAAGGACAUCGACAAGGAGAUCAGUGAGUUGAAACUGUCAGUAACUCAUGGGUCAGCCUGUGGUGACUGAAUUCUUGAAGCAGUUUAUAUGAUGGCUCAGCCAUAAUAGUAGUCAUGCUGCUGUAAAAUUCUUGAAGCAUGUCAUGAUCGCAGCCUGUAGCCACGCUGCUGCUCAGCAGCUUAGGUUUUCUUGUACUCUGAUUUUUUAGUUGAGUCAAAACUUCUGUAAAUCCCUUGGGAAGGAUGCAUUCUUGGCUCCGAAUCACCUGAUUAACAGCUCACACAAUUGACGAAUAAGGCGGAUUAGUUAUUCAUGUGAGAUAUCAUGAUUAUUUGGAGAAAAGUCAACCAAAUGGAAUGUGUUCGUUAACACUUUUGUCUCUGACAAAGCAGUCCAUAUCUUAUUUGUACUUA